CAGCUUCCAGAGGCUGCCUCCUUCCUCCAUCUUUAAAGUCAGCCACAGCGGGUGGAGCCCUUCUCAUUGCAUCUCUGGGACUUUUCUCCUCAUCUCUCGUCUCUUUCUCUCACCCAGCGGGGAAAGUUUCCGCUUUCGUGUUCUCCACUCAAGCAAUUAGCCCGGCGCCGCGGGAAUAAUCCAAGAUGAGAGUCCCAUCUCAAGGUCUGUAACUUCAGUCACAUCUGCAUAGUCACUUCGGCCAUCUACAGUAACAUAUUCACAGGUUCUCAGGAUUAGGGCACGGAUAUCUUUGGGGCUUUUAUUCUGCCCCUAAAUCCUUAAAUUUACAAGCCCCCAAGCCAGUGCCCACAGCAAGAUUUCUUAAAAGCCUCUUUUUCCUCUCCCCUCCACUUCUUCCGAAAGCUGCACCUGCUUUGGCAUCUCUUUCCUCAAUAUUCUCCACAAAAACUCUCACAGGCCCAGCCUCUAAGCUGCCUCCCUUAUCCUGGCGCCGCCUUCCUCCUGGGAAGAAAAAAACCCGCACAACGAAACCUCUCCAGUGGGCAGGAGAGCCCCCUCCUCCGGCUUCUGCCUGUUGUUGACGGACGCAACCAUCCUUCGCAACUUGGUUUCUAUGGGAAACCGGGUUAGGGCUGGGGUGCGGUCCACAGCGGACCUCGCGGCGGCGGUACCAGGCUGGGACAUCCACCCUUUGGACACCUCUGUCCCUCCGAUGCCCCAGUGAUGACCUAGGACAUGGGUCCCCAACUUCUGUCCCCUCUUAGACCCCGUCCUUCGCAGGGCCACUGGCUGCGACCACCUUGACCUGCGGCAGGACACCAGGAGAUCUCAGGUCCAGCCCGCGCCCCGACCAGCCCUUGAACAGUAUGUCCUGCCGCCCCUCCUCCCCCCUCCAGCGCCCGCUCUUCUUCCUCCGCGCCCGGCCCCUCGCGGGUCACCGGUCCCCUGCAGCCUCCGCCCCUGGCUGUGACCGCCCCGGCUGCCGUCUCCAGGGCGCGGACCGACGCGGGAAGCGGGUCGGCGAGGGACGGGGACACAGUGCGCCGAAAUCCAUGUGGAAUCCAACACUGGGAGACAAUGCUGCGAGCGAAGGAAGGAAGACAAAAAGCUAAAGGAGCAGCCCUGCCCGUCGUUCCGAUUCUCCAGAAGUUCCUGAGAACGUACGAGAAGCACUGUGCACAGACUCGGACGUCCGUGUGCCCGGCCGUCAAGAGGGACCUGAAAGCCGGCAUUGACAAUGGACAGAUUCUCAGGAAGUUUAUACUUGUAAGACCUGAUGACUCCCCGCCAAGCAUCCCACCGAUUUCCUUGGAACCUUUGCUUAUGACAAUUCGAGAAGAGUGUUACACGCUGGGGAAAGAGAUCUGCAUCUGGGGCCUUCAACUGAGCAACCCAGAGAUUGCCAGACUCGCUUUGCUUCUGGAGUUGAAGGGGCGCAGCACCUGCCCGUUUACCACCCUAGAGCUCGUUGAUUGCAAGAUGGAUCCGUGGUCUCUCGGGAGACUUGGGGAGGCUCUGCAGUUCAGCAGUUUGCACUCUCUUGUCCUGGAUUACUGCAACUUUGGAAUUGAAGAAAUUGAGCGUAUUUUCUCAGGCCUGGAGAACAACCAAAGGCUCCAAGGCCUCAGCCUGCGUUACUGUGGUCCGGGGCCACGGAGCGGGCCGGCGCUGGGCUCGGUCGUAAGCCAGAGUGCUGUCCGUGAGCUGCACCUCGACGGCAAUUACUUGCAAUGUUCUGGAGCUCUGGCUCUGCUCAGACCCCUAGCAGAGUAUGCAGAGAUGCAGGGCAAAGGCUGGCCCACCACAUCCUCACCAGACGCCAGGAAUCCCCCUCAGCUGCUCGGAGUCAGCCACAGAGCAAGUUCAACUUUGAACCCGAUUACAAAGUCAUCUGGAGCUGUAACAGUGAAAACUACUUCAGGGAAGAAUAAGAGAAAGAAAGGAAUCAAGAAAAAAGUUAAAGGUUUGACUGAAGCUGGUCCUUGGUUAGUGAAAUUGCAUUUGGCAGAUAAUGGCAUAGAUGGAAAAGGAAACGAAGGAGAAAAAGGCUUCUUGGAAUUCACUCAGAUUUUAACAUGCCUGAUCAAAUACUCUGCCCACUUAAGGGAAAUUGACCUUGGAAACAACGGCCUGGGAGAAAGGGCUGCUGCUGACAUACUUGAAGCACUGCGAGCCAGAAAGGAGCAAGAGAGAGGAAGAAAUGAAAUGCUGCUCCAUGGCCUGGGGACUAGAGAGAGAAUUCAACUGAGUAAAUCUGGAAAUCUAAUUGGCUGUAUUAAACAGUUAUGAAUCGAGCAGCAUACCUCAUUAGUGUUGAUGAGGAAAUUCCAGACUGAUUGGCUUAAAAUUCCACUCGUGGGAGAGGCUGAACUACAAUUAGAUUAGGUAUUAAGUUGUGGUUGCUGUCCUGAGGUUUAGCACAAGUGACUCAAUUUUGGGCCUGUUGUUCCUUUUUUUAACAGAAUGGAAAAGAAAGGACUAGCAUAAGAAGUUAUUACAGAAAUAAGCUAAUUGUUAUGAUCACUCACAUCAAGAAGAUACAGGGAAAGGUAUUAGGUGAGAGGAAAUUUAGUUAUUAAUUAUUGCCCAGUUAAUAAGAAUGUGGGAGACUGCCCCUCUCAGAAGCCUGAGACCCAGUCCGUCAAAUGGGGCUGUGAGAUAUCCUGCCCACAUUCUCUUGUGCUCCUCUCCUCUCAGGUAAACUGCCAGUCUUAAAACUUACAGUCACUCCUCAGAUCUCCUCAGACACCUUCCGAUCUAUUUGGAAAAAUAGCAAGAAAUCUUAUAUUACCCGUAAAAAGAAGAAAAAGGUAUGUUCUUGGAUGUCUGUAUCAGACAGUAGUAGCCAUUGGGGGCGCUGUAUGGAGCCUGGGCAUGCUGCUGGGGUAGAGGGUGCCCUCACAGCAGAUUUUGCACUUGAUAAAAUCAUGAGAAUUUGGGUUCUAGGUAACAGUCUCCUAAACCAUGGUUCCAUUCUGACGGAUGAUGACUGUACCAAAGGACAAGAAAUAAGGGAACAACAUAGUUCCCUCAAAUAUUAGUGCAAACCCUGCCUCUUCUCCAACUCCCUCACCCUCCCGGCAAAUCUUGGUUCCUAGUGGCCCAUUGUGGAGCUGAAAUGGUGAAUUUACCUGAGCUCUUUAUGAAGCAUGUGCUGCCUCUUAGGGGGUAAUGAUUUAUGUAUGUUUACUCUCUAUUAAGUACUACUCUCUUUUUUUAAUUUAUGAUUUACUGUUAACUAUUUCACAGGUUAAAAACUGACUAUGGAUGCCAUCUAUUUCUAUGGCCAACCAGAUAUGCCUAGAAAGAUAUUGCUUGUUCUAUAAUAAUAUUUUUCACUGUAACCAAGCCCCUUUCAAGUUCUAAAAUUUGACAAAACAAUUUUAUGAAAAUUCAAAGAAGUGUUAAUCCUAUCGUGCUUGUCAACUUCUAAAAUGUGAAUUUCACAAGUAGGCCUUAGAGAAAAUGGGUGGGAUUCUCUUCUGGAGCUUCUUCUCUUAUACAUGUGAAAUUUAUGAUUUGAAGGAAGUCAUGUUCUUUAUCUAAGACAGAAAGAAUCUUCUUUCAUAAAUAUAUCUAUAGUUGGGAACAAUAGUAAUUUUUGGAAAUAAUAACCACUUUAUAAAAGACAACAUCCCUCCAAAUGGGCAUCUCCUCCAAAUAAGGAAACUUCUGAUCACCAUACCCCCCAUGAAGAUGUCAGACAGAAAUGGAGGAAGUGUGGUUGAUGUAUGUAUGGAUGAUAAAUUGGAUUAGUUGAAUUUUAUAUGCCAGGACAAUAUGGUGCAGGAAUGAAAAGCAUGGACUGGGGAGUUAGAUGAACAAGAAUUCUUUGUGGAAACCAGCUGCUUUCCAAGUAUGUGACUUUGGGCAAGUCAAUUAACCUCAUUGUGCCUCAGUUUCCCUUUAUAUAAGAUACAGAUAAUAAUAGCAUCUAUCUCAUUUGGUUAGCAUUGAAUGAGAGGACACAUGGCAAGCAUUUUAGGUCAAUACUUGUUUCAUAGUACAUGCUCACAAAUAAAUAUUAGUGGCUCUGAUUAUUGCUGUUAUUAUUGUUGAUGUUAGAAUUGAGUGAUUCCAGUUAUUUCUCUUAGGACAGCUACACAAGAAAAAUAGAAAAGAAAAAAAGAUGAAGACUUAGGACCUCUGUAUUUUGAAGUAAAGAAAAAAAAGUCAUUCAUUCUAUGUACAAAUGUAACAAGCACUGGCAAGUUCAUGAAACCAAACUAACUGUGGGGAUGGGUAUAGUAAAUUAUGUCUCCUCUUGAGGAUCUUAGCAUCUAGCUAGGAAGACAAGAUCCUCACACAUUAAAAGUAAACAAUAAUAGAGCAUAAGAGUUGAAAUAAUAUGUCAUUAUCGAGGGUAACAAAGGCUAUAGAGUAGUGAGAUCAAUUUAGCAAAUCUCCAGAAUUUAAAUAUCCAAUGUGUGAGGCCUCCUGAGAAAUUAUUCCUGAUUUAAAAAAAAAAAUUUGGAAAAAAAAUGGAAAUUUGCCACUGACAUCCACUGGGUGAGAGUUUAAAAUCUGUUUCUCUUUAGGGGUCUUUUGGCCGUGUCUAUCAAAAUGAAAAAUACAUAGCUUUUGACCCAGAUAUUCUACUUCUAGAAAUUUAUUUUACAGAUACACUCUCACACUGUGCAAAGAAAUAUACAUGAGGAUAUUCACUGAGGCACUGUUUAUUAUACACUGGAAACAACUAAAUGUUCUCAGAGGAUUCUCAGGGAAAUAAAUCACAGGAAAUAUAUGUGGUGGAAUACUAUGCAGCCAUCAAGAGGAAUAAUGUAGAUAUAUAAAUGCUUAUACAGAAAGACAAAGUAAUACUGUUAAACAAAAAGAGCAGUCUAGAGAAUAGUAUAUGUGAAAAACUCAUAUUAAAAGUGAAGUGAUGUAAUAUGAGCCAGCAAUUUCACUUCUGAGUAUACACACAAAAGAAUUGAAAGCGGGAUCUUGAAGAGCUAUUUGUAUAUCUAUGUUCAUAGCAGCAUUAUGCACAAUAGUCAAAGGUGGAAGCAACCCAAAUGAAUGGAUAAACAAAAUAUGGUCUAUACAUACAAUGGAAUAUUAUUCAGCUUUAAAAAGGAAGGAAAUUCUGACACAUGCUACAACAUGGAUGAACCUUCAGGACAUCAUGCUAAGUGAAAUAAACCAGUCACAAAAAGACAAAUACUGUUUGAUUCCACUUAUAUGAGAUAUUGAGAAUAGUCAAACUCAGAAACAGAAAGUAGGAUGGUGGAUGCCAGGGGAAGAGGAGAGGGAAAUGGAGAGUUGUUUAAAGGGUAUAGAGUUUCAGUUUUGGAAGACGAAAAAGUUCUGGAGAUUGGUUGUGUUAACAAUGUGAAUGUACUUAAUACUAUUGAACUGUACACUUAAAAAUGGCUAGGAUGGCAAACUUCAUGUUAUGUGUAUUUUACCAAAAUUAAAAAUUUUUUUAAUGAGCUG
ensembl:lncRNA